rnacentral:rRNA from 1 species
CCUACGGGUGGCUGCAGUGAGGAAUAUUGGUCAAUGGGCGCGAGCCUGAACCAGCCAAGUAGCGUGAAGGAUGACUGCCCUACGGGUUGUAAACUUCUUUUAUACAGGAAUAAAGUGAGGCACGUGUGCCUUUUUGUAUGUACUUUAUGAAUAAGGAUCGGCUAACUCCGUGCCAGCAGCCGCGGUGAUACGGAGGAUCCGAGCGUUAUCCGGAUUGAUUGGGUUUAAAGGGAACGUAGCCGGGUUGUUAAGUCAGUUGUGAAAGUUUGCGGCUCAACCGUAAAAUUGCAAUUGAUACUGGGAGUCUUGAGUACAGUUGAGGUAGGCGGAAUUCGUGGUGUAGCGGUGAAAUGCUUAGAUAUCACGAAGAACUCCGAUUGCGAAGGCAGCUUACUAAACUGCAACUGACAUUGAUGCUCGAAAGUGUGGGUAUCAAACAGGAUUAGAUACCCGUGUAGUC